GUUCACAAGAACGAAGGAAUAUAAAUCAAUGAGAGAAACCAGAAUGUAAAAAGAAACUAGAAAUAAAGAUUGAAGGGAGAUGUGGAGAAAAUGCAGCAACAUUGAUUAUUCCCAGGGCAGUAAAAAUCUGUGCACAGCACUGGUUACAAGCAUGCGCUGGGUUAGUAGUUUUUGUAAAUACCAUGCAAAUCACCUAGUUUUGAC